rnacentral:lncRNA from 1 species
CGGGUUUCAAGUACCUAAAUUUGGGGGCGUUACAGGCAAUGGCAGUGGUGGCGGCGGUGGGUGGCGUGCUUCUUCUCCUUCUUCUCUUCUCCCCCUUCUCUCUCUUAUCUCUAUUCUGCUCCCUCUUUUUUUUUCCUUCAUCUCUAUGUCGAGCGAAUGCCUAAUACUGGUUACAUUAAGUUUGAUUAGCGACCGCAUGUGGUCGCUAAUUUUUAAUGACAUGGACUUAUCAGCGACUGCAUGCGAUCGCUGAUAUUAAGUGAUCGCACAAAACCUUUGCGCCAACAUUUCCUGCUAAAUUUUAGGAGGCAAAUUUGUGUUAGCGACCGCAUGUGGUCGCAUCUGCGGUCGCUGAUAGUAUUGGUCGCAUUUAGACCUUUUUCUUUUUUUUAUCAAAAGUGCCUUUAACGUUACAAAUUUUUGGUCAACAUUGCACCUCCUGUUGACGGAUAUGCGACCUAGACUAAUGUGAUCGACACAUGGACAUAUUUUGUUGAUGAGACCUACACCUGAACUCAAGCCCAACAAUCAGAUGACUUUUGAAAAGGGCAAAAAUGUAAUAAAAAUUUAUAAUUUAAAUCAAAAAAGUCUACAAUUUCAUCCACCAUAGAUCUAAACAAAGAUCAAUCAUGAAACAAAGAUCUAAUUAUUGGAACACAACCUUAGAUUUCAAAGCCAAAACAAGAUCAGAUCAAUUUAAAUCAAGAUCAUGGGAAGAAAGAAAACUAAACUGGUAUCAUGAAAACAAAAAACCAAUCAAAACAUUAACAAAGAAAAUUAGUAAGCUAAACAUGAACCCAGACCAAGAUAAAACAUGGAUCAACCAGAGCAAGCCAUAUGACUAGAACCCAGAAUCCAAAACUGCCAGAACCAUAUAUAGGACCCAUUUCCAUAUUAGAACGCUUUGAUCGAACCCAGAUUCUGACGACUAAAUCAAAAAUCAUCAUAAAAAACUUGUUAAUGGACAUGAUAAUCAAUAAGUAUACAUAACUAGAUCUAGAACAAAUUUAAAUCCCAUAUCCAAAACAGCACCAGGGCGAAUAUCCAAACCCCUAAUUUGAAACCCCAAAACGGAAACCCCACUUCAGAUCAUAACCUCCAAAUAAGCACUCACGAAUGCCCUUACUAAUCUCGCAAGAAAACCCUUUAGUUUAUAAAACCCUCGGACUUGGCAAAAACAUAGAUAAAAAAUGAGAUUUUAGUGAAGGCUCUCAUAUUUCGCCGCCGGAAAGGCAGAAACAGAGCCCAAGCUCCGAAAAUGGAGAAAGAAAUGGAAGAGAUGGUGAACCAAAGAUGAGGAAGACGGUAAGAAAUGAAGCCGGAUGAGCAUGUAAGAAGCUGUUAAUGGAGGUAGCAACACCAACUUCCAAAAUCACCAGAAAUAAAGUUCAGAUCCAAACCCCCGAACCAAAAUCCCAUAACAGAUCCUCCAAAUCAUAUCAUAACUCCCAGAUCCAGCACAUAUAAGAUCAUCACCCCUACUAAUGUCGCUAGAAACCCCACAAUCUAUAAGCCCAUCGGACUCGACAUAAAAUAGAUCGUAAAAGAGACUUUCGAAUUGAAGGUCCUCAUUGCAGCUACCGAAGAGGCUAAAUAGGACCAAGCAAAACAAAAGUGGAGAGAGAGAGGAAAAGAUGGUGGGCCAAAGAGGAGGAGGAAGGGAGGAGAAAUGGAGAAUAGGUGGGCUGGAGAAGGAUGAUGAAGGAACCCUCCGAUCCACUAUGUUCUUGAAUUGUUAGCCACAUAUAAAUUGUUAGCUAUGUCUCGUCAGCAAAAUAUGUCCACGUGUCGGUCACGUUAGGCUAAGUGGCAUGUCCGUCAAUAAGAGGGAUAUAGUUGACCUAAAA